ensembl:lncRNA
AUGGAUCUUGCAAAUAUUAUACAGGAAGUCUUAAAAUUGCAAUCCUGCUGUUCAUGCCUAGGACCAAGAACAGGCACAAUGCUAAUACAUAAAACGUCUUCAACACAUUUAUACAGGAAUUCAGUGACUUGGCACGCUGUGAAAANACAGGAUCUCUUGCCGCUUCAUCUCUAUCGAAACAUGGAAAAGGUGUUUUGCUUAGAAGGGGUUCCUGAUCCUCAUGGAAAGGAACUGCCGAGCUAGCUGCGACUGUCAGCAUAGUGCAAGAACUAACCCUAUUUUCGGUAUACGCGUUACGUUAAACUGGAAGCUGCUGGAGCAGAAACUGCUUCGUGAACCGUUACGUCAUUGCUUCAGCAGUGCUGCCUCUGCCAAAGCGCUCAGCGUGGGGGUGGAGAAGUGCCUGCUUUACUGCCUCCCACCUGCAUAGCAUGUGAGUCAAGAUGCUUCAGGACCUGUUUGUAAGUCCUCAUAGAGCUCCUCGAGUCAGUGCUUUGUGCCAGAAAAAAAUACACAAAGCAUUUUUGUUACCCUUUGAUUGGAGUUAAGGUUCAAACUUCUGUGCUAGAAAGUUUUNAAUGGUUGGAUGACAUCAUCUUAGAGGUCUUUUCCAACCUUAAUGUUUCUGUGAAAUGGCAAAUGAAAUCUGGUGUGAAUAGAGUACACAGUGGCUAUGGGCCACUUCUUCUCUAUGAGGAGAAGAGGCUAUGGGCUACCUGUUUGCAGUUAGAAUGAGAACGUGGAGUUUCUAAUCAGUCUCUGACAUGUCUAAUUCAAUGCCUUGUUGCAGCACUGGGGGAAAAGACUGCAAGUGUUAUUCCUGGGAGAGAGGAGAGAAUAAAAAAUGACCUGGGCUGCAGGCUUAGCUACAGCUCUUUUGUUGUAAAUUUGAAUUUGGAAUCUUCAGCUGUUGUCAGAGGUUGCAACAGGACUUGGGAGAAGCAGUGCCAAUGUUAAGUAGCUUUCGUGUGAAAAGUGGCAGAAUUCAUGGGAUUUUAUAUGUCAGGAUGGGUCUAAAAAUUACUACUGGGGCAUGAAGGGAGAAGCUGGAAAAUGAUGAAGGGCAUCAAAUGAAAUUAAGUGGUGCCAGUUGUGACACAAGCCUGAAGUUCUGCUUAAUGUGUUGAACAAAACAAGGAAACUUGCAUAAUAAAAUUCCACUAAGAAUGUGGAAGAAGAAUUAAUGAUUAUUUCUGUUUUAUUUGAAUAUUAUAAGUAAAUAAUGAACUUAAAGAGAAAGGAUUCCUGUUUCUUUGAAACUUUAAUGUCUCCAAUGUCUGAAUAUAAAUUUUCAUCGAACUACAUGGGACUCUGGUUCAUUUAGUUUUUCGUGGUGCUCUGCAAUUAGUUCAGGUGUUACUGCUGCUUAUAAUAAUGUACCUAUGCUAACCUGAGUGAGGUGGAACUUCACUCUUUCAAUAAGCUUUAUGCCAUCUAGCUCCUUCAUUUGCCUUUGUGUCCUUAUCAUAGUUUUAGGUGCACUUUGUUUCCAAAGAGAAAAUACGGUUGGAUAUGAGAUUGGUAAUUCAGAUUCUGCUUAGUAAGUAUGAAUUUUCUUCCACCUGCUUUUUCUGGACCUAUUUUAUAACUCACUAUUUUUUUAUAUUUUGCAUGGGGUGUACUGUUUGGUUUGAUUUUCGUGUCUGAAGAAAGAUUAAAAGAACUCAUGCUUUUCCUUGUGUUUUUUUUUUUUUCCCCUGACUGAUUCUAAUAGAGGAUGAAACUGUAGUUUACAUUAGACAUCUCACACAUAGACACUAUUCUUGUGCUGGAAACGUUGACAGCUAUGUUAGUAGCAAAGCACAGUGCUGUAUUGGAUGUGUUUAAAUUAACCUAGACCUUUGGGUAGCACACUGUUGUUUUUUCCCUCUUAAACAUGUUUAUGUUUGUUAUAUUAUUCCAAGUAGCUAACUGCUGAGCACCAUGUUUACUGUAGACUGCAGCUUUCAUUACCCAAAUAAGAGGGUUGGCUUGGGACCCUUUCAACUUCCUUGGAAUUCUGGAGAUGUCAGUGUUGUGAGUGAAUGUUUUGUGUAUGUAAUCCUGCAUCAAAUGUUCUUGGUGAGUUCUGGUGACUUCAUGAAGAGACUGGUAGCUGGAAGGCUUGUCUCCCUGUCUCUGUUUACAUUAGUUAGUUUUACAGAGUAAUUCUCUUAGAUCUAAACUUGUCUCUUUUUCUCUCUCUUGAAGUACCUCUUGAAGAGGUACUACUUAUUACUAAAGCUGUUUAAGUCUGAAGACAUGACCAGGUUUUUAGUUACCUGAAAUUCGGGAGAUAACUGAGUUAUAGUUGUGAAACAUUAAUAUCGAAAAUAGCUGCUUUUUUACUUGACUGUUAUUUAGGUUACCUUUUC